rnacentral:lncRNA from 1 species
CCAGAUACAAUCAAGGUCCGACUACGGAACCAAAAUAAAAGAAGAACCCCAAAUGCGACAAAGGUCCCCGAUCGACCCCAACUGGGCUCCACUACUGAUCAACUAGAACGAAACAACACAAAGGGCAAGAUCUUCAUCGAGCUCCUCCUUGAGCUUGGUUGCGUCAUCUGCACGGACUCAACGGCACCUGCAAGCUGGUUUUGGAAGUAUCUGUGAGCCACGGGGACUCAGCAAUCUCGCACCCGCGAGAUCAAGACUAUUUAAGCUUGUAGGAAGGAUGGAGUAAUGAGGUGGAGCUGCAGCAAGCGACUAGCAUAUAUGGUGGCUAACAUACGCAAAUGAGAGCGAGAAGAGAAGGCAAAGCACGGUCGAUAAAAGUAUGAUCAAGAAGUGAUCCUAUAGCAACCUACGUCAAGCAUAACUCCAACACCGUGUUCACUUCCCGGACUCCGCCGGAAAGAGACCAUCACGGUUACACACACGGUUGAUGUAUUUUAAUUAAGGUCAACUUCGGGUUUUCUACAACCGGACGUUAACAAAUUCCCAUCUGCCCAUAACCGCGGGCACGGCUUUCGAAAGAUCAAAUCCCUGCAGGGGUGUCCCAACUUAGCCCAUGACAAGCUCUCACGGUCAACGAAGGAAUAUACCUCCACCCGAGACAUUCCGAUCAGACUCGGUAUCCCGGUACAACAAGACAUUUCGACAGGGUAAAACUAAACCAGCAACACCGCCCGAAUGUGCCGACAAAUCCCGAUAGGAGCUGCACAUAUCUCUUUCUCAGGGCACACUCAGAUAGGUCAAGCUACGAGUAAAACCAACCCUCAAGUUUCCCCGAGGUGGCCCCGCAGGCUGCCCAGUUCGGACCAACACUCAGAGGAGCACUGGCCCGGGGGGGGGGUUAAAAUAAGAUGACCCUUGAGUCUGCAGAACCCAAGGGAAAGAAAAGGCUAGGUGGCGAAUGGUAAAACCAAUGUUGGGCAUUGCUGGAGGAGCUUUACUUAAGGCGAACUGUCAAGGGGUUCCCAUUAUAGCCCAACCGCGUAAGGGACGCAAAAUCCGGGAACAUAACACCGAUAUGACGGAAACUAGGGCGGCAAGAGUGGAACAAAACACCAGGCAUAAGGCCGAGCCUUCCACCCUUUACCAAGUAUAUAGAUGCAUUAAUUAAAUAAGAUAUAUUGUGAUAUCCCAACAAGUAAACAUGUUCCAACAAGGAACAAACUUCAAUCUUCACCUGCAACUAACAACGCUAUAAGAGGGGCUGAGCAAAGCGGUAACAUAGCCAAUCAACGGUUUGCUAGGACAUGGUGGGUUAGAGGUUUGACAUGGCAAUUUGGGAGGCUGACAAGCAAAUGGUAGGCAUCGUAGCAUUGGCAUAGCAAGAGCGAGCAAACUAGCAUAGCAAAGAUAGUAGUGAUUUCGAGGGUAUGAUCAUCUUGCCUGAAAUCCCGCAAGGAAGAAGAACGAGUCCAAGAAGAAGACAAACGGUCGUA